GAUGAACGCUGGCGGCGUGCCUAAUACAUGCAAGUCGAGCGAACAGACCAGGAGCUUGCUCCUCUGACGUUAGCGGCGGACGGGUGCGUCACACGUGGAUAACCUACCUAUAAGACUGGGGUACCUUCGGGGGACCGGAGCUACUACCGGAUAAUAUAUUGAACCGCAUGGUUCAAUCGUGAAAGUCGGUUUUGCUGUCACUUAUAGAUGGAUCCGCGCCGCAUUCGCUAGUUGGGAAGGUAACGGCUUACCAAGGCAACGAUGCGUAGCCGACCUGAGAGGGUGAUCGGCCACACUGGAACUGAGACACGGUCCAGACUCCUACGGGAGGCAGCAGUAGGGAAUCUUCCGCAAUGGGCGAAAGCGGGACGGAGCAACGCCGCGGGAGUGAUGAAGGACUUCGGAUCGGAAAGCUCUGUUAGUAGUAAAGAACAAAUGUGUAAGUAACUAUGCACGUCUUGACGGUACCGGAACAGAAAGCCACGGCUAACUACGUG
rnacentral:rRNA from 1 species